UGCGAACUCCUACGGGAGGCAGCAGUGGGGAAUAUUGCACAAUGGGCGCAAGCCUGAUGCAGCGACGCCGCGUGAGGGAUGACGGCCUUCGGGUUGUAAACCUCUGUUAGCAGGGAAGAAGAGAAAUUGACGGUACCUGCAGAGAAAGCGCCGGCUAACUACGUGCCAGCAGCCGCGGUAAUACGUAGGGCGCGAGCGUUGUCCGGAAUUAUUGGGCGUAAAGAGCUUGUAGGCGGUUUGUCGCGUCUGCUGUGAAAGGCCGGGGCUUAACUCCGUGUAUUGCAGUGGGUACGGGCAGACUAGAGUGCAGUAGGGGAGACUGGAACUCCUGGUGUAGCGGUGGAAUGCGCAGAUAUCAGGAAGAACACCGAUGGCGAAGGCAGGUCUCUGGGCUGUAACUGACGCUGAGAAGCGAAAGCAUGGGGAGCGAACAGGAUUAGAUACCCUAGUAGUCCAGAUG
rnacentral:rRNA from 1 species